CACUGCCCUCAUGUGGUCACAGCACUAUCAGUUAGUGUGUGUGUGUGUGUGUGUGUGUGUGUGUGUGUGUGUGUGUGUGUGUGUGUGGCCUAUAUCUGUCUCCCAAAUCUCCCACAUGAAAUGCAGACAGGAAGAAGAGAGAAGGUGUCUCGUCUGGGGCGCGAUGGUGACCCACAUCCUGGCUACACCACACCCCCCGAAGCAUCUCUUUACGUCAGACUCCAUAAGCACCCACGAGAUCAGAGCUGUACGGUUUCCAUACAUUAAAACCAAACGUGCCUUUGUCUGAAUGUCCCACAGACGCCUGUGGGACACAGAGGAUGUGGACACUUCCUCUGGAUUUCGAAAUGCUUCGUUUUACUGGAGUAGUGGAAGCCAGCGUCCCGUCAAGGACGCGUCCAUUUCUUGUUCCGUAGGGGUGCGCGCGCUGACGUUCAUUUGCAUAUGGAUUUUUUCUUUUUAAUAUCUGGUUCUUUCCCAACAAUUAGUGCAGUAUUUAUCCAUUAUUAUAAGCCCGACGGGCACGCAUUAAUCCUCGCGAGGUUCAUUUUGUAAACUAUUUUGCGGCGUCGUUCCCACGGCCACCCCUGCGGAAACAUGGUACGGUCCACUCCCUGCCGCUAGCCGUCGUUGGAUCCACCGCCACCCAACGGAUCUGUCGCGAUACGAACUAGCAACACUCUGGGCACAAAAGCCGCGAAAAGAUGCGCCCGCACCGGAUUAAAACGACGAAACACGCGACAGGAAGUCCGGCGAAACUUUACCGAACUGUGCCCAAACUUCGAUAGAACACGAGCCGAGCCACUUCUCCUGCAGUUGUCGAGUGGGAGCAUUGUUUUAUCUCGCCACUAUCGCCGCUGGACGCGGGGGUUUCUUCUUCUUCUUCGUCUCCUCCUCCUCCGCCUCCUUCUUCUUCGUCGUCUUCUCCUGGAGCAGUCCGGUUCUGAUGAAUUCACCGAAAAGAGACGCAGACGAUGAUGUGCCCGUCAAAGACCCGGUGAAAUAUGGCGAGCUGGUCAUUCUGGGGUACAAUGGCUCUCUUCCAAGUGGAGACCGGGGGCGCAGAAAAAGUCGCUUCGCUCUGUACCGAAGGGCCAAGGCCAACGGUGUCAAACCCAGCGCUGUGCACAUCCUCAACAACCCACAGGACAGCAAGGCUGUACACAGCAGGGGGCAGCACAGCAUUUCGUUCACCCUGUCCCGCAACCAGACAGUGGUGGUGGAGUACUGCCAUGACAACAACACAGACAUGUUCCAGAUCGGACGCUCCACAGAAAGUCCCAUUGACUUUGUGGUGACGGACACCUCCGGAGGGGGGAAGGAGGGCGAGGACCCCUCCAUCGCUCCCAGCACGAUCUCACGUUUUGCCUGCAGAGUUGUGUGUGAACGCAACCCACCCUACACUGCACGCAUUUAUGCCGCAGGCUUUGACUCCUCCAAAAAUAUCUUCCUCGGAGAAAAAGCUACCAAAUGGAAAAACCCCGAUGGGCACAUGGAUGGCCUGACCACCAAUGGGGUGCUAGUGAUGCACCCAGAGGGGUUCCCUGAAGAGCCCAAGCAGGGGCUGUGGAGGGAGAUUUCUGUCUGUGGCGAUGUCUACGCCCUGCGGGAGACACGGUCUGGACCCAGCCGGGGCAAACUGGCCGAGGGAGAGAGCAGUGCACUACGAGACGGCUCCCUGGUUGACCUGUGCGGUGCCACCCUGCUGUGGCGUACAGGCGAGGGGCUCAUGCGUGCCCCCACCCUACGCCACCUGGAGGCACUUCGCCAGGAGUUAAAUGCGUCACGGCCCCAGUGUCCUGUAGGCCUCAGCACGCUGGCCUUCCCCAGCCUGCCACGCAGCCACAGCCUUGAAGAACGUCAGCCCUGGGUCUACCUCACGUGCGGCCAUGUCCAUGGACGCCAUGACUGGGGCCAGAGAUCAGAGGGAGAGGAGGAGCCAAGAGACGGAGAUGGCUCCACGGCCCGUCGAGAAUGUCCCCUAUGCAGGAGUGUUGGUCCCUACGUGCCCCUGUGGCUGGGCUGUGAACCUGCUGUGUAUGUGGACGCCGGCGCUCCGACGCACGGUUUUGUGCCAUGCGGUCACGUCUGCUCAGAGAAGACAGCCAGGUACUGGGCAGAGACCCCACUGCCGCACGGGACCCACGCCUUCAGACCCGUCUGCCCCUUCUGCUCCUCUGCCCUCAGCACCCCCGGCUGGACGCGGCUCAUCUUCCAGGGCCCCAUCGACUAGACGCUACGACACAGCAACCACUAUCACAGCAACAGCAACAGAUAGACGCCCAAGUUUCAUUCACGUUGCAAACAUUGAUAAGAGUGGUUUAAAGUUUAGAAAAUGGCGACAGCUGAUGCAAGCGAGACUGGAUGGUUGAACCCAGAAACACUGGAAUGAAUUUCUGGUGUAGAUCAUUGAGGAUGUCGGUGCUGGAAUACCCCUCGGGCCCCCCCGAAACCGCCCGCCUGGUCCGAAGAGCCUCAGCAACACAACGGCUGCGUUGCAGAGCCGCUCCCCCCGACAUUCACCAAAGCACACGCAGACAGAAGAGUCAUGGUGCUGUAACUGAUAAGCUGGUGGGGGUGUGAUGAAAACGUAAGCGUUUCUGAAGGGUUCACACCUGUAGAGGCUGGGAAAUAUAGGACGCUGAUAUGUCCUGUUUUCGAAGGGGGGGUCCAACCUGGAUGCGACUUGGCGAGGAAUACGAUUGAGGAGGAAAUCUGCCAUAGACGACUCCCUCAAGUCUUCAGGAAAACACUACGGUACCUUCCAUCCCUGUCGAAGUCAUAUGACGCCUGCUGGUGAUGUGGCGUCAGUUUAUACACCCACUCUGUCUCCCAUCAAAGCAGUAAUCCCCAACACUUUUAUAUAUACAGGACACUAUUUCAGCAAAUGAACAUUUGAUAUCAUAUGCAGCAGCGGUAAUGCUGAGUGACACUGAGGUCACAUGGUCUGCAAAUUGUUUUUGUAAUUCGCAACCUGAUGGGACUUUACAUCCCAACUGCACAUAUCUGGUAUUUUGUGGACUCAUUCCAAUAAUUUUUAAGCUCAGUGAUUUUAAAUUUGGCUACUUACAGGUCAGUAAGGAAAGUACUGCUCCGCCAGAAUUGUACUAUCGGUAAAGAGGUGAAUGCAUAAUUUAGACACUUAUGUAAAGAAUUCAGUUUUAAGACAAUGAUCACUUAAAUGGUAAAAAUGAUUAGAAUAUAUAUAUAGAAAAAAAUAUCUGCAAAGCCAGAUAUCACUAGACAUACAGAAAAAUAUUAGUUUUUUUUAUGUUGGUGAGCUGAUCCUUUGAUAAAAAUGUCAUUUUUAUUUAUAUUGAUAUCAUGUUAUGGCAUCAUUCAUUUGGAAAUCAGGAUAUAGUAAAACAUUACUUUACGUUACAUGAUUUAACUGACGCUUUUGUCAAAAGUGAUUUACUAUAAAUGAAAGUUUACCUACUAAAACAGCAUCAAUACUACUACUACUAUUUUUUCCAGUCGCACUUGCAAUUUACAACAAAAAUUCUUCUGUAUACAUAAAGUCUCCAGUUAUAAUGAUAGAUUGGUUGAUUUUUUUUCGAUUGGAGGGACAGUGGAGUGGAAACAAUAUUUAGGAUAUCGUCAUAGAGUUAAUGUCCAUAUACCUCCAUGAGUUUUGUGUUUAAAAUAUCAGAUUCUUAAUGCAUGUGAGCCUGUAUGGCUCGUGCAUUUGAAAUUCCUCACUAAUGUUGCUACGAGGGGAUCGUGUUGCUAGGUUUGUCAUCCUAUAGGCAGGAUCCUUUCUCAUGUGGCUUGAAAUGAUUUUUUUUUUUAUCCCUUUGGAAUCAAGUGACCUUUCCUGAGCCUUAUGGUUAAAUUUUCAAGUUGAUACCGAACAUGUACUUUCCUUUUCCUAUUUGUCUUUUCACAAUCCUCAUGUUGAUGAUGGUGGUGCUCCUGCAAUGACGUCCCUCUGCUGCUGAAUGAAUGUAGGCCACUCUUCUGUUCCCCAAUUGCCUUCUUUUCCUCGCUGGUGUUGCUCUCUCUGUUCACAGUCGGCGUGACCAAAAACAGCCCUGAGGAGGCAUUGCCAUAAUUCCCCGUAAAUGACAACUAAUGAAGAUGCACCUUCAGUGGUCAGGGAUGAGCACUCUCCUCUUAUGGCUGCAUCAAGGCACACACUCAAUUAUCCCUGCAUGGAUACGCGUGUGUAUGAGUAGAGGGGGGCUGACUACACGGGCAGGCAGGUAGAGAUCACACAGCAAGAGGCUCCGUUUCAUCUCAAACCAACCGACUGACGUGUUACAAAUCCCACCAGCAGCAGCAGCAGCAGCACUGAACAAACCUGCCAGCACUCGUCAGAGGACCUGUGAUGCCUUUGCUCAAGCUUUCAUGGAGUGGCCCCGGACAUAAUGGAUGACGCAAGUUUGCCAUCAAUCCCCUGUGAUGCCUGACCCCAGCUUGGAAACCGCUGUGAUUUCACUCCCACAACCACCACCACCACCAUCAUUUAACAGUGACUUGGAUGGACUGGCAAUGAAAGAGGGUGACGAAACACAGAGGCACACACCUGCACUCAUUCUCCCGCGUCUUGGGACCUUGUCACCAGAGAAAGAUCUCCACAGGGAAGCCCAGGCCAGCGUUUUCCAGUCCACCCUCCCUGGCCACCACCCCCCAGUGUGCGUCCACAGCAGAGAGCUCACUGCUGCCCUUAACAGGUGGGCCGGGGCACGGCGCGGCGGGGCGGGGCGGGGCAGGGCAGGGCGAGAGGCAUCUGUCAACAAACUCUGCAUUCAUCCCUCUCUCCUGCACUACGUUUCCAUCUGCCCCAGAGAGACAGAGUGAGGAGGAAGGUCAGUAAAACAGUGGACAUCAGGAGACUUAUCCCGAGGCCUCUCCUGACGCCCACCGACUUCAUUCUGCUCCGUGACUCGUGUCCCACUUAUCUCUAAUUGUGGCAGAGAUGAACCCGUGUGUGGUUUUAAUAAGAUUUCCUCCACUGUACAGUUGACUGACGAGCAACGGGAGGCCCCGUGACCUUUGAUCUCUGCAUUGUAACAGCUGUACAGGAGGAGGAGGUUUGACAGUUGAGGUCUCUGCGUGUCUAACAAGUUGUCCACUUAGCGAGCUGUUGGCACUGAUGUGACCUUAUUUAGAGCUCUUCUCAUAAUUUGCUCGUAUGAUAUAAACAAGAAACCUUAUAUAUAACCCAAUGCUUUCUAAUUUGAUCAGAAAACCACAUUUCUGCUGUUUUAAUCUGCCUGGGUUUUGGGGGGUUCGGGUUAGGACUGUGAGCGUGUAUUUUUUUAAAUCCAACAUACGGUGUCAUUCUAGUAUCGAAUACUCUCCUUCAGUAAAAGUUGAUCCUUCUCCAUCCUCCACAGGGAACAGCAACCUCAUUCAGCAUUUAUGUCAAAAGUAACAAAUUCCGUUGCUGACACGUUUUGUUUCUUGCAGUGGAUUUAUCCAUAGAUCCAUACACACAUCUCAGAUAGAUAAUGCUGCGUGAUACACAUCUCUAAUGUCCAACAGGCUGAUAUUCCUGCCAAAAUAUGGUAUUAAUCUGUUGGUGUGAGUUAAGCUGUAUAUUAUAUAAAUUAUAAACAUGCUUUUAUGGAUUAGUAAGCACACAUUUCUGAUGUGAACAGACUUUUCAUGUUUGAGAUGCUGUGUUGAAUCAGAGACAGUCUGUGUUCAAGUUCAUGGGUUUAAGUGAAGUGAGGCAACAAUAUUGCAUUAGAUUCUUCUGCUUUUGCAUUUCAGCAACAGGCUCAUGUUACACUGUGGUCCAGUGUUGGAGAAGACUAUUAGGCAGCAAAAAGUACAGUAGUUAUUUUGAUAGAAGAUGUAUAGUUUUAUUCUAGAACCAAUCAGACCAGAUUGAUUAUUUUAAAUCAAACGUUGUUGAACAAACUGGUAAGAAUCCACUGUGCAGGUGGGAUUUUAAAGCGAUUUUACAGCCUCCGUGUGGCCUGAUUCCUAACUGACAUGAACACGCUCCAUAUGGGGGCUUCCUCGACAAAGCUGCCUUCGGUUAUCUGUUUGUGUCGAAUGCUUUUAGCUUCAGCUUAUAGAUAUAAAUUUGGCCAUUAAAUGCAUGUAAUCUGUUAUUACAACAUCUCCCUUUUCCACUCAUAAGGAGAUUUCUGAUUAUUUUUUUUCUUCCUGCUAAUGGUCUGUUCUCAUAAGGGCAGGAGUGCUUUGUUGGCUGAAUGUCCACUGUUGACAUAAUCCAGGGUUGUAAGGUCCUGAUGCUAAAUUGAUGAAAAAAAAUCUUAACUAGGCAUUACAUUUAUGUGAAACAGUAAUGCUCUAAUGGCAAUUCAUAUUUUUACAUAUGCUGGAUUUACUUCAAACUUGUAAUCAGCUUUCUGCUUAAUGUCUCUGUGAGUGCAUUUAAACAGUGUAUUUCAACAAAUUACAAUAUAUCAGCAUUAUUAGUAUUUUGACUAAAAUCUGUACCUCCGGCCAUAUGGUGGAGACACACGGCUCAAAUCCUCGAACAUUUCAUUUAGUUAAAUAUUUCCCUAGUGUAUAAGAGGUUUGCUUACAUUCCUAACAGGCUCAAGUUUGGAAAACCAUUUAAUCCUACCAAAAGGGAGUUACCACAAUAGAUGAGAUUAAUACACGGAUAACGAUUUAAAUCAGAUAUAAGUCUAUGAUUUCGAAGGAGGCCUGUACUCAUCGUGGAAUCUUUAGAGGGUUUUCUUUGCCUGCAGGAUUGAAAAAGAUGACAAAGAAAUCCGACCGUUUUUAUGUUGAUACACUGUAAAGAGCACAUUAAGUCACGUGACUCUGGGAAAAGAAACACAGGCAAAGAUCCAUGUUUUCAAAACACAAAAUGCAUCAGCAGAAGGUAAAAGCGGCUUCUAUUACUGAAGCAGCACUCAGCUGGUCCAGUUAGUUUCAGUAGCAGUAGACCAAUAGACCUUGUAGUAAACACACUUAUUAUGUUUCACACAAAUAUAUAUGGCUGUCAAACCAGAGCUCCAUGUCGACAAGUUAAUAUCAUUAAAUGCUGUUUAUGCAUGAAUGCAACCUAAUAUAUCAACCCCCCAAAAAAUAUGAACAAGUACUUUUUACUUAUAAUACAUUGUCACUUAACAUUUUAGAUGCUGGACUUUUUUAUUGUACUUUAAGCGCGGUCUUAGUCUUCUUCUUCUUCCACCAUGUGGAGCUUUUUCAAUCAAAACAAUAGCAACUUUUACUAAAGUACACUAAAAUACAAUAAAAAAAUUUAACAAAGCAUGUACACCAGAAUAUGGCGUAAAUGACAACAAAUUCAAAACCGAGUUCUGGUGCAUCUACUUGAAUGUUGACCGAUCUAGUUGCGCAUUUGGAGCAAUUAAAAGAUAAAUUUGCUUUAAUUCCCAUUAAAACGUCACGACGUCAACAUUCAGUCGUCUGAGUUUAAACCCAUCAAACUGUAUAAUCCAAGAGAUGACAUCAGAGAGGGUCGUGGAACGUUGUCCCUCAACCGCCAGUCUGACGGGAGUACAGAAACACUAUUGUUUCAUCCAUUUAAAUGAGAUUCCAUGACUUGUUGUUGGAGAUGAAUUAUGUAUGUGUUGAUAUGUGAUGGACAAGGUCUCUCUGGGAAUGUAGGACACAUACUUAUGCAUAACAAUGGUCUUCGGUUAUGUUCUCACCGACAAAUUGGUCGAAUAUCUCCCGUGUUCUCUUCUCCAUAAAAGAAAGUCUCUACA